rnacentral:rRNA from 1 species
GAUGAACGCUGGCGGCGUGCCUAAUACAUGCAAGUCGAGCGAACAGACGAGGAGCUUGCUCCUCUGACGUUAGCGGCGGACGGGUGAGUAACACGUGGAUAACCUACCUAUAAGACUGGGAUAACUUCGGGAAACCGGAGCUAAUACCGGAUAAUAUAUUGAACCGCAUGGUUCAAUAGUGAAAGACGGUUUUGCUGUCACUUAUAGAUGGAUCCGCGCCGCAUUAGCUAGUUGGUAAGGUAACGGCUUACCAAGGCAACGAUGCGUAGCCGACCUGAGAGGGUGAUCGGCCACACCGGAACUGGAACACGGUCCAGACUCCUACGGGAGGCAGCAGUAGGGAAUCUUCCGCAAUGGGCGAAAGCCUGACGGAGCAACGCCGCGUGAGUGAUGAAGGUCUUCGGAUCGUAAAACUCUGUUAUUAGGGAAGAACAAAUGUGUAAGUAACUAUGCACGUCUUGACGGUACCUAAUCAGAAAGCCACGGCUAACUACGUG